GUAGACCCGAAACCGGGCGACCUACCCAUGAGCAGGAUGAAGCGAAAGUAAAAUUUCGUGGAGGUCCGAACCCACGAGCGUUGAAAAGCUCGGGGAUGACUUGUGGAUAGCGGUGAAAUUCCAAUCGAGCCCGGAGAUAGCUGGUUCUCCCCGAAAUAGCUUUAGGGCUAGCCUCAAGGUGAGAGAUACGGAGGUAGAGCACUGAAUGUCCUAGGGGGUAUUGCACCUACCGAAGACUAUCAAACUCCGAAUGCCGUCAUCUUAUACUUGGGAGUCAGACUGUGGGUGAUAAGAUUCAUAGUCGAAAGGGCAACAGCCCAGAUCGUCAGCUAAGGUCCCUAAAUGUAAGUUAAGUGGUAAAGGAUGUGGGAUUGCACAGACAACCAGGAUGUUGGCUUAGAAGCAGCCACUCAUUCAAAGAGUGCGUAAUAGCUCACUGGUCGAGUGAUCCUGCGCCGAAGAUUUCCGGGGCUAAAACUUACUACCGAAGCUACGGCAUCAGUAAUGAUGGGUAGGGGAGCUUCCCAUACGGGUUGAAGCGUGACCGUAAGGACAUGUGGACAGUAUGGGAGUGAGAAUGUUGGCAUGAGUAGCGAGAUGUGGGUGAGAAUCCCACAGGCCGUAAACCCAAGGUUUCCAGGGGAAGGUUCGUCCGCCCUGGGUUAGUCGGGACCUAAGCUGAGGCCGAAAGGCGUAGGUGAUGGACAACAGGUUGAUAUUCCUGUACUACCGAUAACCGUUUGAGAGAAGGGAUGACACAGUAGGAUAAGCUAAGCACACUGUUGGUUAUGUGUGCCCAAGCAUUGAGGCAGUCAAAGUAGGCAAAUCCGCUUUGAUAAUGCUGGGAUGUGAUGGGGAGCGAAAUUUAGUAGCGAAGUAGCUGAUUUCACACUGUCAAGAAAAGUCUCUAUCGAGGUUAAAGGUACCCGUACCGCAAACCGACACAGGUGGGUGAGGAGAGUAUCCUAAGGCCAGCGAGAGAACUGUUGUUAAGGAACUCGGCAAAAUGACCCCGUAACUUAGGGAUAAGGGGUGCCACCAUCAGGUGGCCGCAGAGAAUAGGCCCAAGCGACUGUUUACCAAAAACAUAGGUUUCUGCUAAGUCGCAAGACGAUGUAUAGGAGCUGACGCCUGCCCGGUGCUGGAAGGUUAAGGGGAUCUGUUAGAGCAAUCGAAGCAGUGAACUUAAGCCCCAGUAAACGGCGGCCGUAACUAUAACGGUCCUAAGGUAGCGAAAUUCCUUGUCGGGUAAGUUCCGACCCGCACGAAAGGCGUAACGAUUUGGGCACUGUCUCAACAACAGACUCGGUGAAAUUGUAAUUCCGGUGAAGAUGCCGGAUACCUGCGACAGGACGGAAAGACCCCAUGGAGCUUUACUGUAGCUUGACAUUGGGUCUUGGUACUACAUGUACAGGAUAGGUGGGAGGCUUUGAAACCAGGACGCCAGUUUUGGCGGAGCCAUCCUUGGGAUACCACCCUUGUAGUACUGGGACUCUAACCAUAGGCCAUGAAUCUGGUCUUGGGACACUGUCAGGUGGGCAGUUUGACUGGGGCGGUCGCCUCCCAAAAGGUAACGGAGGCGCUCAAAGGUUCUCUCAGUACGGUCGGAAAU
rnacentral:rRNA from 1 species